AUUGAACGCUGGCGGCAGGCCUAACACAUGCAAGUCGAGCGAGCGGCGGACGGGUGAGUAAUGUGUGGGGAUCUGCCCGAUAGAGGGGGAUAACUACUGGAAACGGUGGCUAAUACCGCUUACUAUCGGAUGAACCCAUAUGGGAUUGGCUAGUAGGUGGGGUAAAGGCUCACCAGGGCGACGAUCUAUAGCUGGUCUGAGAGGAUGAUCGGCCAAACGGGGACUGAGACACGGCCCAGACUCCUACGGGAGGCAGCAGUGGGGAAUAUUGCACAAUGGGCGAAAGCCUGAUGCAGCAAUGCCGCGUGAGUGAAGAAGGCCUUAGGAUUGUAAAACACUUUCAGUGGGGAAGCGUUACCCGCAGAAAAAGCACCGGCUAACUCCGUGCCAGCAGCCGCGGUAAUUC
rnacentral:rRNA from 1 species